UACGUAGGGUGCGAGCGUUAAUCGGAAUUACUGGGCGUAAAGCGUGCGUAGGCGGUUCGCUGUGUCCGAUGUGAAAGCCCCGGGCUUAACCUGGGAAUGGCAUUGGAAACUGGCGGGCUUGAGUGUGGCAGAGGGGGGUGGAAUUCCGCGUGUAGCAGUGAACUGCGUAGAGAUGCGGAGGAACACCGAUGGCGAAGGCAGCCCCCUGGGUUAACACUGACGCUCAGGCACGAAAGCGUGGGGAGCAAACAGG
rnacentral:rRNA from 1 species